GCUGCGCCCAAGGCUAUUUAAACCCACCCUGGCGGGCCUGUACUCAGAUCUUCCAAGAGCGGAGCAGGCGCCGGAGCGUUAUGCUGGCUCUGCGUGGACUUCGAGCUUACAGCGUCUUGCGACUUGGAAGCGGAUUCAGAGGACAGGACAGAACACUUGG
rnacentral:lncRNA from 1 species